AGCUUCUAAUAAAACUUCAUUUUCCUCUCAUCUCCUUCUCACUCCCUCUAAUCUUCCUUUUCCUUUCUUUUCUUAUAGAGUCCUCCAGUCUUCCAACUCCUAAAAGAAGAAGAACCCUAAAUCAGCGGCCACUUCCAUUUUUCCACCACCGCCGAUCCACCACUGAAUCUAUUUCUUCUCUCACUGAAGUAUUAAUCAAGUAAUCUUUCACAAGAUGUUAUUGAUGAGGUCUUUUACAAACUGUAAAGUGUUUUAAUCGCUUCUAUGAUGUUCCUCUUAAUUCCCUCAUAAACGGGUGCUUUUUCUUUUCAGGGUUGAAGCAUAUUAUUCAAACCUUCAAUUCCAAUCAAACCCUAAAUCUGAUUUCCUUUAAUCUCUAAUCAAUUGGAGUUAUCCCGGUGAAUCAUAAACCCUAGUUUUCACUUAAUCAGAGAUUUAUUUCACUAAAACCGUAAUUUCUUACACACGGAAGAAAAGAUAACUCAGUCACUCAGUCAGUUUAUGAUGGAGAAGGGGUUGUAUUGUACCAUUUAAAGAAGAAGAAUUGAAGAGGAAAAAUAACAUGUUGAGAAGGGUUUUACGUACAGCUUCAAAACACAUGUGCGUAGAUUAUAUGGUUUGUUAAGGUGGUGAAUCUACACGCAAUGGCCCAAUGUAUUAUUUACUAGCAGGCAACAACCAAUUUUCACCUAGACAACCGCCGGGGUUCAAUGAUAAUGAUUUUACUUCUCAACCUUUCUCUUUUUAAUUGGUUAUGUUAAUUAUUUUAUUUGAUCAUGUGGGUUACUUAAUAUAUCAACCUUAUCAAGGGAGUUGUGAAGAUCAAGCAGUAAUGAGGAAGAAACACAAAUCCCAGUUGAGAAAGGCCCUCCAGUCGAAGAGGUGUGGGGUAAUCCUUUUGGGAACAUCUCACCAGUAAAUUGGUCAAGUUUGUGUGACCUCUUUGUUAUGGAGAGUAUUAAGAAAUGCCGUGAUCGUCAUGAGAAUUUUAAGGCCUCAAGGGCAUACAUUGUCAGGUUCAAGGGACACCAAAGGUUUCAAGGGCAUAUGUUGCCAGUUUCACGGGACGAAAAAUCAAUAUAUACAUAGAGAAAAUUGAACAAUUUAAGGAAGCCAACGCAAAUCUUGGGCACAAUACACUCGUUAAUGGUUCUUGAUCCAGCUGAGUCUCCAACCAUUGAAGAUCCAGAAGCUGCUUAGUGCUUUGUUUUAUGUUACUCCUUGUUUUUAGUUAAAGUUACAUGAGUGUUAGUUUUCUUCAAUUAUUUAGAAGUGUUGUCUUUUUAAUAGUUCAAUUAUUGCUUAAGUUAUUAGAAAAUUAUUCAGUUUAAAUGGUUUUCCUUUCUAUAUUAUUUACAUAUUUUAAUGAAUUACAAAGAC